rnacentral:rRNA from 1 species
CGGAGGUGCAAGCGUUAUCCGGAUUUAUUGGGUUUAAAGGGUCCGUAGGCGGAUCUGUAAGUCAGUGGUGAAAUCUCACAGCUUAACUGUGAAACUGCCAUUGAUACUGCAGGUCUUGAGUAAAUUUGAAGUGGCUGGAAUAAGUAGUGUAGCGGUGAAAUGCAUAGAUAUUACUUAGAACACCAAUUGCGAAGGCAGGUCACUAAGAUUUAACUGGCGCUGAUGGACGAAAGCGUGGGAGCGAACAGGAUU